rnacentral:rRNA from 1 species
AUUGAACGCUGGCGGCAGGCUUAACACAUGCAAGUCGAGCGGGGUGAUGGUGCUUGCACUAUCACUUAGCGGCGGACGGGUGAGUAAUGCUUAGGAAUCUGCCUAUUAGUGGGGGACAACAUCUCGAAAGGGAUGCUAAUACCGCAUACGUCCUACGGGAGAAAGCAGGGGAUCACUUGUGACCUUGCGCUAAUAGAUGAGCCUAAGUCGGAUUAGCUAGUUGGUGGGGUAAAGGCCUACCAAGGCGACGAUCUGUAGCGGGUCUGAGAGGAUGAUCCGCCACACUGGGACUGAGACACGGGCCAGACUCCUACGGGAGGCAGCAGUGGGGAAUAUUGGACAAUGGGGGGAACCCUGAUCCAGCCAUGCCGCGUGUGUGAAGAAGGCCUUCGGGUUGUAAAGCACUUUAGGUCGGGAGGAAGGUUCGCUGGCUAAUAUCCAGCGGAAUUGACGUUACCGACAGAAUAAGCACCGGCUAACUCCGUGCCAGCAGCCGCCGUAA